rnacentral:misc_RNA from 1 species
AAAAAAAAGAGGUUCCACCACACCACACUGUCCUUGAAAAGCAAAAGGGAUCAACAGAAAUAAUAUUGCAAAAGGAAACAUGAGCAGCAAAAGUGAUCAACAGAAAUAAUAGUGCAAAAGAAAACAAGAACAGUUAACGAGUGCACGCGCAACAUUACCCAUAGCAUUAUGUUAAGAAAAUCAUGAAUAAAAAAAAUUGAGCAAUAAAAUACCCUCAUAAGUGGAGGACAUAAUAAGAGUCUAAUUGCUCCAUUUCAAGAACUUACAAAAUGAUUGUUAAAGUUUAAAUAAGAUUCCAGUUGCAUCCUUAUGGAAUUUGUAAAGUCACAGUUAAUCGUUCAACUAAAUAACUGAGGUGUGCAACUUUUAAAUUAAAGAACUAAGUUCUUGUUUGGUUGGGCUUUUAGUUUCUAGCAAUCAACACUUAAGCAUUCAACGACUAAUCAAUAAGAAUAAACAUGAUGUAGCAGCCUAAAAAAUAUUACCACCAGAUAUUGGAAUUUGAACGUAAGCCUUUUCCCUAAAUGCUAAACUCUCCAGCUUUUGAAGGCAAAAACUGACUCAAUAUAAUAAAGUUCCAAUACUUCAAUAUUAUUUACCAAAAAAAAAAAA